GUAGGAGCUGAGAGCCUCAGCGUCUUGGUCAGAAGCGCUUCUCACUGCGACGGGGUCAAGAUGCUGUUCUCUGUGUAUUGCUGCAUUACUGAGAAUGCACUGAAACAGUAGGUUUGCACUUUUAAAUUCCAUUUUACUUUUACAUAAAUUAAAAUCAGUUUUGUUCCUUUCUUAAUGUGACUAUUGGUUACAUUUUGGUCCUAAAAGGGCAUAAAACUGAAAGGAACUUAAAUAAAAAUGAAGAGGAAAAGACAGAACAAGGGGCGAAAGAAAGGAGCAGAUAAAGCAGGUCGGAACAAUGACAGUCUUAGGCAAAGUGGACGGGAGGAGAAGGCCAAAAGAUCAGAGCCUGGCAGUAGUACGUCAAGUCCAGCCCAGUCGCAGAAGCAGCCUGAUAACACCUCAACCAGACUUAGAGACCAGGCUGAACAUCAGGAGUCUGAUCAGGGCUGUAACAGGGCCGUGCCUGGGACAGGCAAAGUGGAGGCUCAAACUCAAACAAUCAGACUGGAGGUCAGAGACAGAGUGACCCAAACUGAGUCUGUCAGGCAAAAUUCUCGUCACACGCAAACCCAUUCAGCAUGGGGGUCGACGCAGCUCGAGCCAGCAGAGGAUGCUAUGGAGUGGGAACCGACAUCGCAGGACAGAGGAAAUGCAGAAAAUGAGAAGAAUGAAGGAGAAGGUACUAAAGGCUCAAUGAAAGAGUUUACAUCUGACGAGAAGAGCGGAGAGAGUGCACUGCCGGAGGACAAUGUGCCCCACCUUGAUGCAGAAAAGGUGAAGGAGAGUAAUAAAAACGAGAAGGUAGGAAGGUCAGGAGAAGAUCCACAGAAUUCCUCAGACCAUUCCUCAGCAGGUAGUGGACCAAAGUCAUAUGCUGCUGCAGCAUCAGCCACGGAGCACACCAAAGGCUCAAAGGAGCAGAGCGUUCAGACAGCAGCGAGACAGGAGGGCAGAACUCACAGCAAAGGAGAACAGAGAAAAACAUCCCCAGUGAGAGGACCGACUGGGCAGCCAGUGUUCACCUUUUAUGUUUACAUAGUGGUGGAUAAAAAGUUCAGGUUUAACAGAGAUGAGGACAAACUUCUGCUCUGUUAUACAGGUGGAUCUGAUGAAUUGGAAAUCACCCAUUUCAAGGGCUUGCGUGAGAAAGGCUAUCUGAUCGAGGCAAAGUUCUCCGUUGAUGAAAUUAAUUUGCAAAGGGGCAGUUUAAUGUCAUAUAAGUAUGCAGUGCUUCAACGACAGAAGGUAAUAGAGGAAAUUGCCACAAGAUACCACCAGAUCCCUAUUGAUCACUCUGUCAAAGAAAUGCACCUUUUUGAGGCUCACAUGAGUCGCACAGGAUCAAUUAAAGACUGGCUGAGGAGCUUCAUUAAGUCUGCAGAUAAAGUCAUUUCUGAGGCUUGGGAGAAUUCUGCGCAUUUUCUACUGGACAGAUUGUUUGAGAAAUGGGACCCAUCAAGUCAGAAGAGUGUUCUGACAUUCACACAACUCUUAAACAGCUAUAAGAGGAGUUUUCACGCUGCCAGAGACCAUGUGUUUUACUUUGACAAUGUGCCUACUCCUUUUGUGAAGGUCAGUGUAAACCUUUGAUUCAGUGCAACUUACCUGGAGCUUUGAAGAACUGCUCCACAACAUCAAAUCAUGACUCUGUGUUUUAGGUGUCAGAACUGAUAGCAAACAAACUGGUGAAGAUACUGAAUGGAGAAAGAGGGGGAAGAACUUCAGAGAGCUCAGCUGAUGUCAGUCCUCUGACGACGGGCCUCUCAGUGUUCCAGGUGUGCUGUGCGUGUUGUAUUGAGCUUGGAAUUAAAGACUGGGGCAAAGUUUGUCAGCUGGUCUCCACUAGUCCUGCCCUGGGACAAUUAGAAGAAAUUCAGAAUGCCUUUCCAGCAUUACAGAAGUAAGUACAUAAAGAAAGAGGUAACAAGCCUUAGAUUAUGGAGCAAUAUUGCAUAGAAUUAUUUCAC
ensembl:lncRNA